UGAAUACGAGACGCUAAGGCGUCGAAGUAGUGUAUGUCAUACUUCCAAGAAAAGCUUGCACUGUCAUAGAUAAAAAAUGCCUGUACCAUAACCGACACAGGUGGGUAGGUAGAGUAUACUAAGGGGCGCGAGAUAACUCUCUCUAAGGAACUCGGCAAAAUAACUCCGUAACUUCGGGAGAAGGAGUGCCUUAUUCUUAAGGUUGCAAUAACAAGAUCCAAGCAACUGUUUAUCAAAAACACAGGUCUCCGCUAAGUCGCAAGACGAUGUAUGGGGGCUGACGCCUGCCCAGUGCCAGAAGGUUAAAGAAGUUGGUUAGCUUUUGCGAAGCUGAUAACUGAAGCCCUGGUGAACGGCGGCCGUAACUAUAACGGUCCUAAGGUAGCGAAAUUCCUUGUCGGGUAAGUUCCGACCCGCACGAAAGGCGUAAUGAUUUGGAUACUGUCUCGGAGAGGGGCUCGGUGAAAUAGACUUGUCUGUGAAGAUGCGGACUACCUGCACCAGGACAGAAAGACCCUAUGAAGCUUUACUGUAACUUGAAAUUGAAAUUGGACUUUAUUCGCGCAGUAUAGGUGGGAGGCGUUGAUUGUAAUCUUGCGGGAUUAUUGGAGCCAUCAGUGAGAUACCACUCUUGUAAUGUUAGAUUUCUAACUUUGUAUCAUUAUCUGGUCAAAGAACAGUUUCAGGCGGGCAGUUUGACUGGGGCGGUCGCCUCCUAAACGGUAACGGAGGCGUACAAAGGUUUCCUCUGAACGGUUAGAAAUCGUAUCUAGAGUGUAAAGGCAUAAGGAAGCUUGACUGUGAGACCUACAAGUCGAGCAGGGACGAAAGUCGGUCUUAGUGAUCUGACGGUACUGAGUGGAAAGGCCGUCACUCAACGGAUAAAAGUUACUCUUGGAUAACAGGCUGAUCUCCCCCAAGAGUUCACAUCGACGGGGAGGUUUGGCACCUCGAUGUCGGCUCAUCGCAUCCUGGGGCGGUAGUACGUCCCAAGGGUUGGGCUGUUCGCCCAUGAAAGCGGUACGCGAGCUGGGUUCAGAACGUCGUGAGACAGUUCGGUCCAUAUCCGGUGUAGGCGUUAGAAUAUUGAGAGGAGCCUUCUUUAGUACGAGAGGACCGAGAAGGACAUACCUCUGGUGUACCAGUUAUCGUGCCAACGGUAAACGCUGGGUAGCUAUGUAUGGAGUGGAUAACCGCUGAAAGCAUCUAAGUGGGAAGCCCACCUCAAGAUAAGUAUUCUCAU
rnacentral:rRNA from 1 species